rnacentral:tRNA from 1 species
GCAUCGGUGGUUUAGUGGUAAAAUUAGCCGUUGCCAUUCGACGUCGGCUAGCCCCGGGUUCGAUUCCCGGCCGAUGCA